AGAAACUUAAGUUACGCAAACUAAGAGCCUUCAAAACUCUAAACAGGGACACAACCCUAGUUUCUG
rnacentral:tRNA from 1 species